rnacentral:lncRNA from 1 species
UCAGAGCUCCUGGAUGCUUUAAUUUUCACAAGAUUUGAUCAUUUCCCCCGAAACAUGAGGAGAUACUGAACCUUGGCAAGACAGUUUUCAGAGAUGUGGCAAGAGAUGCACUUACAACAGCCUUAGCCGAAGGAAACCUUUCAGCCAGGUAUCUGGUGCUCACUCCAACAGAGCAGCCAAUGUCCAAAAUGUCAUUGAUCUGGCAGUUUUCCCCCGAGUACUUGAGGUGAUGCUCCUCAAUUGCAUUCAUCCAGUUUCCCCGAACAAUCUUGUUCGCUUCUUCGAUCGAAGUAGCCUCGGGUAUGGCCCUCUUUGCAAUGGACAAGGUUGCAGCCUCAGCCUCAGCUGCAGCCUGCAUAAUUGGUGAUCAGCACGAGAGAGAAACAAGAGCUCUGCAUUCAGUCGAACAUAUAAAGUGUGCAGAGAGAAGAGAGGGAAGCAAACAAUUACCAGCCACGAUAGGUUCCCUUCGUCAUAGGCGUGGAAUGGGCUCAGAUAAUCUGCUCAACAUAAGCAAGCCAUAUUAAUGCUUCUGCUUCCUUGAGAUUUCAGUGUUGUGUCGAUCAAAUCAUGGAAUCAGAGGUGCAACUGAAGGUAAAAGCAUAAUCUUCUCACUGUAAAAUUUAUGCGAUUGAUACUACCACUAUGGUACUAAUUAAUCAGCUAAAUAAAUAUGUUAUCGACCAAAAAUAGCUGACGAAGAAGUGAGGGUGGUCGGGUUGGUGGGAUGAACUGCUCACAGUCGGGGUAGACGAUGUUGGGGUCUCUUAUCCUCUCGAACACCUCGUACACGUCAGACUCCAGCACCUUCUUCGUCAUCUCCCUCCACGGGAUGUUGGACUUCUCCGCCGUCCUGGAUAACAAUCAUCCAUGGCCUCCAUCACGACGUCCAAGUCCAACCACCACCACUACAUUGCUGACGAGAAGCCCAACAGCUAACUAACUGACGGCCAAUGGUGUGCGGUGCCUACCUGAUGAUGACCUCGCGGGAGGCGAGCUUCAUGAGGGAGUAGAGCGGCUUAAAGGCGAUGAGCGCGGCGACGAGCCGCGACACCGGCGUCUCCCCGGACCACGCCGGCCGCUCCAGCGACCCCUCCUGCGGCGCGGCGCCGGUCACGGCAGCGACGACGACCGCAUUUCGCCGACGGCCGCCGCGGCUGAUUUCUUUAUGAUGCCGCCCGAAGCCGCCGCUGGCGGUGGUGCCGGCGCGCCCGAGGAUGGCUGCCAUUUUAGGCCGCUCUGCUGGAAAUGCUGUGGUGAUUCUCUCCGCCGUCGUUCUGGCUCUACCGGAGCUCGCUGGUGUGGCUCUAGUGACGAUGGCCUUUGAUUGGCGCUUGGGAUUGUGCUGCUAUCUAGAGGGAAACUCUGCAGCCAAUAGGAUUAUGGCACGUUUCCGUAUUUCCGCUGUAUUUGAAGCUAAUUUUUUGAAGAAAGGGAAAGAGAAAUAAAAACGGAAGUGAGGGUGAUGACAGCUCACCAAAAACUCACAGGGAGCACCUAUGGCUCAGGUGCCUGGUUGUUUUUUUGUAUCAGCCAAUUUUUUUCAUGGAACAUCAAAGAGAAUCCAACGAAUUUAGUUGUCGAGAAAACAGAGAUCCCACCACGCGCGCGCGCGUGCACACACACACACACACACACACACACACACACACACACACACACACACGAAGCAUUAGGCUCGUACGAGAGAGGGGCUAAGGCGUUCGGCAAGCCCUAGCUGCCUCCUGCCAUUUUCCCUGCUCUAUAAACACUUAACUCCGAGUGAGGGGUGUUCGAAAAUUCUGAGCGGACAACGGAAGUUUUGCCAAGUGCAUUGGUGGUUCCGAGUAGAAUGAUUGGCGCUCUAAAGUGCUAGGGUUUGCAACAGUUAUACCUGGAUGAACUGCUUGGUGGUUCCGACCGGAAGAGCUUGGCGUCUCCGAAGAUAUGAAAGUUAGGUAGAUAUAGCAGAGGAAUUGAAGAUUUUUUUAGGGCAUUUGGAGUUUGAUCUUUAAACUCAAAUAGAAAGAAACUCGGCAUAGCUUCCUCAUCACCUUUCGAUAGUAUUGACAUGCUUAUGAACUCAAUGUGAUCUUGAAUCACUAAAAUGGAAAUGAAGAAUUCUAAGCUUGGCCAACACUUGUCUUCAUGAUAAUUUGUGGGGGCGCAUUUCAUUUCCUUUGGUGCACGCACAAGGACCUUUCGGGAGAUAAGCUAGAUAAGCAGUAGUUCCUUGAGAUAUGUUGCCAACAAUUAUAAAAAUCCACCAAGCGGAUUAGAUUCACUUUCAGCCGCAUGUCCCCCUUGUUGUCUGGGGGCUCCAAGGCCCNNNNNNNNNNNNNNNNNNNNNNNNNNNNNNNNNNNNNNNNNNNNNNNNNNNNNNNNNNNNNNNNNNNNNNNNNNNNNNNNNNNNNNNNNNNNNNNNNNNNNNNNNNNNNNNNNNNNNNNNNNNNNNNNNNNNNNNNNNNNNNNNNNNNNNNNNNNNNNNNNNNNNNNNNNNNNNNNNNNNNNNNNNNNNNNNNNNNNNNNNNNNNNNNNNNNNNNNNNNNNNNNNNNNNNNNNNNNNNNNNNNNNNNNNNNNNNNNNNNNNNNNNNNNNNNNNNNNNNNNNNNNNNNNNNNNNNNNNNNNNNNNNNNNNNNNNNNNNNNNNNNNNNNNNNNNNNNNNNNNNNNNNNNNNNNNNNNNNNNNNNNNNNNNNNNNNNNNNNNNNNNNNNNNNNNNNNNNNNNNNNNNNNNNNNNNNNUGCUUAACGUAUCCCGCGCCGUAUGCGGCGUACCCAUACAGGUAGAGCCGAGCGCACGGCUCGAGCCGAUACGGCUGGCUCGCAACUACCCUCUCCCCGUCGAGCGAAAAAAAACCCACGACAUGCGCUGAUCACGCGGCCCAUUCCAAUGUCGCCCCGCCCCGCUGAUCGCCUCCCUUACCCGCCGAUAGCCGCCUUUCCCCGCCGAUCUAGACGUGAUCACGCUGCCAAUUCCAACGUCUUCCCGUUCGGCCGAUCACCGCCUUCUCCCCGUCUUCACCCGGGAUCUGGCCGGCGCGGACAGAUCUUCGAGUCGCCCGCCGUACGUGAUGUCGCCUCCGUGCAGGUCGUCGCGGUGACGUGGACUAUGUGGACGCCGUCGCCGCCCGCAACUCCGUGAUCAGCCUCUCCGGCAACGUCCUCGCCGUCCGCAGCCACGCCAGGCGGCCUGAAGUGCACGUGCAUGCCAUGUAAGCCUUCUAGUUCAUUCAAAAAUUGAAUCUGUAAAUAAUUAUGUGCAAUCACUUGUUAGAUAAGAAUUUCUCAUCCGUAUGAUCGUAGUACAUUUAAUUUGAUUUAAAAUUGAUAGAUCAAUUUUUAUUAUAAUAUUGCAGUGUAGGUUGCGAGAUCAUUUAAUGGAUAAAGAAACUGGAUUUACGGAUUUGUUUUUGGACACGAGUGAGUGGGAUGGUAGCGAUAGUGUUGAUCGUACGAAUGGUAAUGAUAGUAAAGAUGACGAUGAUGGCAGCGACAAUGAAUCCUGGUCGUCGUACGAUAAUUUACCUGAGGAGGAUUUUGAAAAGAAGGAGGAGGGUGCUUGUAGUGAAAACGUAAGUGUCUUGUACAUUCUUUUUGUCGGAUGAAGAACCAUAUGGUACUUACACGUGCAUAUGAUUUUUUUAUGUGCAGGAGGAUAUUGACGUUCACAACGAGGAAAAUCAUGGUGUUGAAUCUUUCGGGGAUAACAUAAGCCAGGUUCGGUCCAAAAUUUAAGAUGUCAUUGAAUAAUAAAUAGUUGGUAAUGACAACUUACAUUUGCUUAUGUGGAAUAUUGUAGGCUAACUUUGACGGUUGGAGUGGUCAAGAUGGAUAUGAGCAUGAAGAUGGAGCUAAUAUGGACAUUGAGGAAGCUGAAAUCCAGCAACGUACACUGGAGACACAGUUGAAGGUUAUGGGUAUGACAUUUGCAUCACAAUGGGAGGCUCACAUGUUCUAUAAUAACUACGCCAAAGACCGUGGAUUCAGUAUCAGAAAAGAUAAGGUGAAACGAGGAAAAGGACUUUCAACCACUAUUCGGUAUAGGAGAUACGUUUGCUCGAGGGCAGGAAAGCGUCACAGUAAAUUUUUAAACCCGGAGGGCCGUACCCGCAGGCUAAGACCAGAGACUCGUUGCGAGUGUGGCGCACAUUUAGUCGUGAAGUUGGACAAAGGACGUGGAGUUUGGUUUGUGGAAGGUUUUAUGGAUGAUCACAACCAUUUGUUGGCUAGACCAGAUGAGGUGGUAUUUCUACGGUCACAUCGAGUGAUGGGAGAUCACCAGAUAGCUGAGAUCUUGGCGAUGGAAGGAGCUGGGAUCAGAAAGCAUAUCAUCGUUGACAACUUCAUUAGCAGGUAUGGCUCGUAUGAUAAGUGUGGGUUUCUGAGAUGAGACGUGUACAACCUAUGUUGUCGAGAAAAAAUGAAGUUGAUUGCGAAGGGUGAUGCUAACACGGCAAUUGGGAUUAUGAGGAGCAGAAAGGAGAAGGAUCCAGAGUUUUUCUUUGAGUACGUGCUCGAUAAGGAGGUCCGUUUGAAGAGCAAGUUCUGGUGCGAUGCACAGUCGUGGCGGGACUAUCAACUGUAUGGAGAUGUCACGGUGUUCGACAACACAUAUAAGAUGAACAGAUACGGUAUGCCGUUCAUCCCCUUUAUUGGUGUAAACAAUCACCGUUGCACCACAGUUUUUGGUUGUGCCAUUGUGUCCGAUGAGACUGAAGCGACGUACGUGUGGCUGCUCCAGACAUUCCUGAAGGCCAAUUGUCAGAAAAAGCCAAGGUCAAUCAUCACAGAUGGAGACGCUGCAAUGAUAUGAGCUAUUCAGUUGGUUUUGGUUGAUGUGUUGCACCGUCUCUGCUCAUGGCACGUGGAAAAAAACAUGCAGAAGCACCUUAAUUACAAAUCGCUAAGUGAGUUCAGGGCACUCUUGUACUACUCCACCUCUCCAGCCAACUUUGAGGCGAGAUGGCAUGCUUUCGUUCGUAAAUGGAAGACUGAUAAAACGGAAGAGUGGUUGAGUAGGAUGUACAGGAAGAGGAGUCUGUGGGCAGCAUCAUAUCUGUCAGAUGGUUUUUUUCUGGGUAUGCGCAGUAAUCAAAGGAGUGAAAGUCUUAACUCUUGUCUUCACCUGCACUUGGACGGCGGUAUGACUAUAGUUGACCUAGUUGUGCAUUAUGAGAAUUGCAUAGUCCGACUACGUGAGAACGAGGCGCAUGAUGACUGUGUUUCAAAUCAGUCAUUGCCACCAUCAGUCACAGAAUAUAAGGAUAUUGAGAAGCAUGCCGCCAAAGUAUUCACUCAUUCCAAUUUUUAUAUUCUUCAACAAGAUCUGAAGAAGAUGGGAGAGCUUGAGAUUUUUGAGACACUAGUGGGAGUUGACUGCCACACCUUCAUCAUGACAUGGAGGAAUAACCGGAAAUUUCAGUUCAGCGUGAAUUAUCGAGCUGAAAACUCCGAGAAUACGAUAGACUGCAGUUGUGGACGAAUGCUUUGGAAAGGAUUGCCUUGCAAACACAUUCUGUAUGUGUUGGUUCAUCUCAAAAUAUCUAAAAUACCUAAGUGUUGCAUCCUUAAGAGGAUGUCGAAAGUUGCGAGAGGUGGGCUGCCUGCACAGCGAAAGAGUGACUUAUUUGGCUGGGGUUGGACAGGGGCAGAGCAGCGUGCUCGCUAUAGUCAACUCAGUAUAACAGGAGCUGAAGCUUUUCAUGUUGCUUCAAAUGAUCCAUUCGUCUAUGAUGAGUUGAUGCAAUGUCUGCAGAAUAUAAUAGCGAAGAAAAAGGUCCCUGAUGAUGAUGCCAUUGGUAGUACAAGAAAUGUGCAUGAGGAGCCACGUCAGCCGGAACAACAUGUUGAUGUCAUAGGUGAUCCCGUGAAAGUUUCCACGAAGGGCACCCCUAAACAGAGCAGGACAGGGCGGGCAAAGAAAGAUCCAAAUGUUACAAAAAAUGGAAGACCAAUAUCAUUUUCUGAGAAAAAACCCGGUCCUCUUUGUGGCAUUUGUAAGAGAGAGGGCCAUAGACGGCAAACGUGCCCUGAGAAUGAAAAGUAAGUUUUCCAUAAUUUUAAUUAUUUUCUGGUUCUCUCUUCACAAUUGUCUGAUGAGUUGUUUACAAUUUGUUAUGUAGGAACCGGGCAUAAAGAGAACCGGGCAUAAAGAUGAAGUAUUCAUAAUCAAUUGAAGGCACUGGCAAUUUCAAUUUAUUUGUUUAAGAAUAAGAGACAUGGCACUUUGAGUUUAUUCUUUAAAGCACCUUGUUCGAUGAAAGUCAUUACCACUUUCAGUUUAUUUGUUUAAGAAUAAUAGACAAGGCACUUUGAGUUAAUAUUUAUGCCACCUUGUUCAAUGUUAUGCGACAUGCGAUUUAUAUGAGGACAUGCGAUUUAUAUUUUUAUGUGUGAAACAUAUUAUAUUUGUAUGAAUGUGUUACUGCUGUCAUGUCUUAGUCAACUUAUGAACAUUUUUAAAAUUUAAUGUAUGUGACAAUUUUUUUUAAAAAACCCCAGCCGUGGCCGGCUGCGCGCACGGACAGUAAACUACAACGCCUUCUGGCCGCCGAGCGGGGAGGCCACGGCGCACAGCAGGGCAUUCAUUAAUGUUCUGUAGCGAGCUUGUGAGAAGGUGAAGACGCGGGUAUGUUAACCGGUCGGCGCGUCUCUCCGCGGGUGAGGUGGGACUACCGUGCGCCCGACGCGCGUCGUUUAUGGGCCGACAGAUCGCCAUAUUCCCCUCGGGAUCGUUGCAUGUGCCCGCUGGCUGGGGCGGGACGAGACGUGCGCACCUGUUGGUCGGCCGGGUGCUGGGCCAGCAGACCCGCGCGUGGCGCACGGCCAAUGGCGCCAGCCCGCACUAGCUGGAGUGCGCGGGCCCGCAACUGCCUCGGCGGGCAGCCACCGAACGGCCUGGAAUAUUCGUCGGAUCUAGCGCCGCUGUUGCCACCAGAAUCGAUGUGGGAUAUUGUGCAGGUUUUAUCCACACCGCACCAACUCAGGACGGCGGGCAUAUUUUUUAAUAAAAAAUGACCGCCGCGAGUAGGAACAACAACAACACUACAUUUAGGGGCAAAUUUCUACAGCAAAUUUCUACAACAAAGUGUGGUGGCUAAAACAAGCGCCACACCUUAGGCACAAAUUUCUACAGCAAAAGCCUCUUCCAGCUGUGGCAAGCCUAACCUUAGUAAAAAACCAAACGUGUACCUAGAAAGAUGUGGCACGACACACCUUUGGCGUGGCUAGCUAAGUCAUGAACCAAACAUGUCCGUAAUAUCGCAGAGGCAAACUGAUACAUUUUAGGACAGAAAAAUAUUAUUUGCCCACACGCAUUUAAAUGUGUAGUGUCUCACGAAAGCAAUAAAUAAAACGUGGAAAAUUGUCGAAAUCUAUCCCAGUGCCAUGUCGCAUUACAAUCGAUCAAAGUAUCCAACAACGGUAGGGAAACCUUCUACGGGACUAAAACCCUACCAAUGCUAAUACCUACUCCUUCUCCAUGAUUUUAACAAUUUUCAUCUUCACUUUCUCUAAUCUGUUGACCUCAGAAAAAAUGAUUUCCGCGACAAUACGUGGCCUUGACUCAUUAAUCUCUUGCUGGUCAAAUUCAUGUGUCCAGCGAUCUCCGUCCCAGUAUUUUAUGCAUCACAUCACAAAAAGUUCACAAGACACUCUGCAAUAAACAUGUGUGAUCAGCUUAGGAUAUAGCAUGCACUUUCUUGUACUCAUUUAACUUACCCAUCAUGUUGUGCCAGCAUUUUAUACUCAUUAAUUGGCCAUGAUGAGACAUUUGGAAAUUUUUUUGAUUCAAGAAUAGAGUUGGCCUCCAUAAUAUCCUUAGAUAUUUCAGCUCACUGAAACAAAUUAACAAACUAGAAUUUAAUGUAUGACUCAAUAAUUUUCUGAAUGCGAGUGUGAAAAUUUUAGCGUACCAGGGUGCCAAUCAUAUUGCGAAUUCUUUGGCUAAUUGCACCUUUAGAAUUUGAGUCAAGAACUUGAAACUCCUCCUUGACGGUGUGCAUCACUAUGGUUAUCCAAUGAUUAUCAUUAACGUGCAUAGGAAAAUACGCAUAUAUAGUAAUCAAAUGAUGUUAGCGCAAUUAAAUAGUAAUGAAUAACAAAAACAAAUAAAUAUGAAAGAAAUACCUUGUCCCGUCUGAAAUACUCAUCCAUUACUCUUGCGACGACUUUUUCUUUCUUUGUAACUUGUUCUGAUUCUAAAUCAUUAAUUGACUUGGUCUUUCCCCUAGCCCUACCCAACAUAAAUUUUGGGAACCACGUUGUUGAUAUGAAACGGUCAGAGAAAUCACGGUGUUGUAGGUGUUUACAAUAUGCAUUGAUUAUCUGCAUACAUAAACCAAAAAAUUCUAUCAACUUGUGAAGUUCAAAUGAGAGUAUUGUUAAAACCAAACUCAUACUUACAACGCCAUUCAACCAUUUAAAAUUCAGGACAUCGUGAAGCAUAGCUGGCGUGCAUAUGUCCCCAUCUGGUGGCGGCAUAUCGACCACAGUUCGGUGUGCAUGCUUCUUUGUCGAUGCGAGAGUCUCAACAAAAACUCUUGCUGCCUCUAUGUGAUCCGGAGUCAUAUUAAGAGUACUUGUCAGAAUUGAAUAUGGUGACGAUGCAAACAGAUCUAAAACAAUGCAGCUACAGUUGUUAAAAAUAAUAAAAAAUUUACGUAACGCAUGAAUGAAUUACAAAGUAGUACUUGACUUACUUUUUUUAACACGUUUCUUGCGGGUAAUGAGAAGGUCAUACGGGGAUUGACAAUAUUUCGACGGAUUUCGUUUGCGUUUACCUUCAUUGUCCUGACUGCCUUCACCAUUACCUAUGUUGCUCUUUGCCGGGAAACUCUCAGACAUGUCUUCAGACUUUGUUGGUGACAAACCACCCAUAGACUCAUCAGAAAUAUCAGCAUUCUGCGGGGUUCGGGACAUAGACGGAAACUCUUUUGUACGUACAGUUGAUGACGAACAUGGGGACUUUUCAUUAUCGUGUAUAAUGAAAGGAUCAGUAGCGUCACCUUUACCCGGAGUCACCGUCGGAGCACCCGUGUCAUCAACGGGCACGUCCGUAUCAUUGAAACACGUGAAAGAUGUUACUAGCUCCACGUCGGUAGGUGAAUCAAUAUCUGGCCAAUAUUUUGAUGACUUGUACUGGCCAUUCUCCAUCCCAACUCCUUGACGUACAUUAACAAAUUCAUCAUUGUUGUCCCUCUUAUUGGGUUUGUACAGCACACCUUCCGUGUUCAACUUUUCCAUUACCAUCUACAAACACAAAUGAAACACGAUCAGCAUUUGAACAACUAAAACAUGUUUAAUAUAACUUCUACAUACCUGUGCACAUCUUUCGGGUAUAUUGAGAACCUCCUUGUGAAGCAGCUUUAUGUAUGUCAUCACACGGUCCAUACUGUUAGUCGUGUUCGAUGAAACCCCUGACGUGCUUGGCUUUCUACUCCUGCCACCACCUUUCCGUUUAGGUUUCUUCGUUUCUUCAUCUGGGACAGUCCCUUCACGUGCUACCUUAGCACGUCUGUACUCUUGGCUAACACAAUUUUCAAGCUGUACAACAAAUAAAUAAAUAAAUAAAAUAACAACUAUAGUUAAUUACUAUUUGCAACCAAUAAGGACUAUACUUAUUGACUUACAUUGCCGGUGCCACGCCCGUGCAUGUUGUCAUAGUCAUCUCUCUUUUUCCCUUCCGUUUCUGGCCAGUUAACCAUUAGUGGGUAUUCACGAGACAAAGGAUCAAAUGUAUCCACACCAAUUGGCUCAACUUUUUCCCAGUAUAUAUACUGCAUGAUAGUAAACACAACUAGUCGGACACAUAGAUCACAUAAAAAAUAUAUGUACAUACAAAUAUUACAAAUUUCUUGUACCUGAAGAAGAGCCAAGUUCCCGAUAGGCCACUUGAAUUUUUCAAGAUCUUCGACCGAUUUUUUAAUAGCAUCCAUGCACACCCUCAACGUAAAAUCGUUCCAAUUGUAUGACUUGAUAGCGUUCACAUCCUCCACCAUUUUGUAAUAACGAUAAGGAACAAACUUGGUGGAUUGUGGUGCUAAGAAUGUACCCAUAAGAACCAGUAUGGCCCUUCUCACAAAAUAUUCAUCAUAUGACUGAGUAUCAACAAUAUUUUUUAUCAACUCAUCGAUGAGGAUUAGGCCUGUUCUUUUGUCUAGAAACCGAUUUGGAACCAUUUUUUGGCAUCUAGUUGUACUGUUGCUAUCAUGCUACUGACAUCAUCACCCUCGUUACGUAGCCCGAAUAUGUCGUAAACAUCUUCAUUAAGCACACUGAUGCCGUCUGUAUUUGGUCGAAUAAUAAAUCGCUUUCUAGUACUAUCAUACGUUGUAAUCAUAAAUUCCAAUAAAUUUUUCCUCAUUUUCACGGAAGGAAUUCUCAACAUACAGUCCAAACUUGUGCCACGUAGCAUCAUGCGCUGUCUGGGUGUGAAUUUUUCCACCAAUUCACACCACUUCUCAACCGAGCAGUACACAUCUCCCAAUUCUUGCAUUCUAAAUAAGAUGCCAGUUAUCUAACUAGUUACGAUAUUCAAAAAAGAUUACAUAUGGUUUAAUACCAUACCUUCCGGCGUCUAGACGAGCACCGGCAGCCCCCAUUGCCAAACCCCACCCGGUGUGGGUUAGUCGUGGCAGCCGCACGCCCUCUGCCCACACAAGCGCGCUGGACGACGGCCCGUCCUAGGGUUUAGGGUGCCGGUGAAUUUGCCGAGACGGCACGACCGGGCCUGAGAUCCAAGUCGCGCACGCAGAUGACGGAUUGUAUGGCCGCCGUCAGGCUGGCAGGGAAGGGAGUUUGGACGGCCACUGCGGUGCGACCGUCGGAUCGGGGACGGCUGAGGAUGUGCGUGGAGGCGGCGGGGCUAGGCGGUCUUGGGGCGAGGUAAUGGCGGCUUGGUUUCCAUGCCAUGCACGCACGUACGACGUCAUCGACGUGGUCACGCCAUAGUGGGCCACUUGGCCCGUCCCGUCAAACUACCGACGGCUGGCCCAUGAUGCAUUUAUUAAAAACAUGCAUUGUAGUUUAAUACCACAUCGCUAAGCCGGCACGCCGUUGACUCCUUUAUAUAGUUUUCUUUCGGUCAAUGCACAAACAUCUCAGUUCGUGGGACUCUAUUUGGAGGAUAUGCAGGAUCGAUGUGAGUCUUCACCUGCUCAGAGCUUGUGAAGGUUCACAUGGAUCAUGCAUAUUCUUCAAAAAGAGAGCCAUUAUCUUCGAUGUUUUUUUAACCUCAGAAAUUAUUAAUGCAUUUUUUAAUGCAACCAUUUUAACGUCAGCCGGCUAUUUUAAAUCUCUUUAGUAUUAGCUAUUUUAAAUCUAACAAAGAGCACGAACGCGGCUAUAUAAGCCGGUCGUGGCGUCCCUCAGCGCGUGAGAAGGCAAAAAAAUAGUGAUUAAAAAGAAAAAUAGCCCAACCGGUUGCAGGCCGCAACUGCGCGUAAUCAGUCCGGCCCGAUCAAGCCGGGCGGCAAAAGGGCCGGCCUUUCGGCCCAGCUACAGCCUGCAGCACAGUCAAGCGGGGCAGUGGCGGGAUGGGGCGGGAAUCAGAAGAGUUCGAAGCGCCGGUGGGAGGCAGGUAUAUAAGGCGGUCGCGGCGUCGUUCCGCGGGCGAGGUGGGACUAAACUUUAGUCCUCACCCCCGCCGACCCUGCCCCCGCACCGCGCGCAGAGUCAAUGGGCCGGCCCACGCGCGGCGUCGCGCACUGUCACUCUGCCGGCCAAUGCAGCAGCCAUUCUAAUUUAGUCCCACUUCGGCAGCCGGAUGGUGUCCACACCAGUUUAUAUAGCCGCCUCUGGUAGUCAUUGCAUGGUCAUAUCUUAUAUUGUGAUAUGACUUUACCUAACUGCCUGGGUAGUUCACUGUCAGACAGUGUACUGCCGGGCAGUUAUGUAGAGCCAUAUCACAGUAUUAAAUAUGUUUAUUUUGUCAUUUUGUUUAUAUUUUUAAUUUCAAACGGAAAACAAAUUUUUGUAAAUAUGGUUCCGAACUACGAUUUUUUUACUCCGUCAAACGUCACGACACUUUUUCAUAUUUUUCCGGCACCCUAUGAAUUUCCAAUGGUUUUCUCCGUGAAACGCACCGAAAACACUGACCGGGCGUGACGCAACGUGCGUUUGGUGUCCGAAUUCGUUCAACUUUUGCGUGGGGCCCUAAGAUGGGCAUGCCCACUGCAUCCCAAAUUUGGGUAACUUUUCGUGGGUGCCACCUCGUGCCUCGCAUGCAACCCGCACUGAUCGGAUAUGAACGAUGUCAGCCCCGAACUGCGUUCUCUUUUCUUACUGAGCCGGUGGACCCCUAACUUUUUCCACACGCACUCAUCGGCAGGGCCAUCAUGCCUGCAAGUUUUCAUAUUUUUCCGGCACCCUAUGAAUUUCCUAUGGUUUUCUCCGUGNNNNNNNNNNNNNNNNNNNNNNNNNNNNNNNNNNNNNNNNNNNNNNNNNNNNNNNNNNNNNNNNNNNNNNNNNNNNNNNNNNNNNNNNNNNNNNNNNNNNAGCAACGGUCGAAAAUUUGACUCUCAAAUUCCUCAUGGCUAUCAUGUUCCUCACUAUGUAGGUAAUUCGCACUGGCGAAUUCCUAACUCCUCAGUCAGAACAAAUUCAUCAGCGACCAGAAGAACUUCAUCUCUGUCACUGAAGAAAGUGACUGAACUGUAUGAGAUUUCCAAAGGCUUCACUCGAAGGGAUUGGUAGGUGUAGGAUUUUGAGUUGAGCAUCACAUGGAAAUUUUUCCUUAGUAUUUCCUCGACCCCCUUUAACAGUAUGGUGUUUCCUAUGACUCAAGAAGGAGAAAAUGAAUCUACGAAAACAUAAGUCUUCACGCUUCAUGUUCCACAGAUGAAUACCAAGUCUUCAAGGUCACACCAAUUUCUUCACUUUCAAAGUCUUCAGAAAGUCUUCAGAAUAUCAAAGUCUUCAGUUGAAGAACUUCAUUUUUAGGGGUCGACUUUGUCUGUAAAUAUCAAACUCCUCAUAGACUUAUAGACCUGUGUACACUCACAAACGCAUUAGUCCCUUAACCUAUAAGUCUUCAAUACACCAAAAUCACUAAGGGGCACUAGAUGCACUUACAAUCUCCCCCUUUUCGGUGAUUGAUGACAACAUAGGUUAAGUUUUCAACGGGGAUAAACAUAUGAAGUGUAUACACUGAUGUUGAGGAAUUUGAUUACAAGAUAUAGUGGAACUCCCCCUGAAGAUGUGCAUAGUGAGGAAUUUGCUUUUGAAGCAAUGCACAUUUGAAGAGUUGAAUCAUGGAGAUCUCCCCCUAUAUCUUGUAAUUCAUACACGCAUUUGAUAUAUAAUAUGAAGAAUUUGAAAUGCAUGACGAAAUAUGGUGCCUGAUGAGAUUCAGCAUGCGUGCAAAUGUCGUUAACGAGGAAUAAGCAUGCAGAGCAUAAUGCAACAAAAGUAUCAGCGCACCAUCGGGUUUAAGAUUACAACUCGAUCCAAAUAAAAGUUUCAGAAGAACGAGAGUUGUAACUUAAAAAAAUGCCCUUAAUAUAGACCCGCUUGAAGACUAACUCAGAUUUCUCCCCCUUUGUCAUCAAAUGACCAAAAGGAUUGAAACUGAGGACUAACACCCCAGAAGAAUUUCAAGUCGAUGGAGGAGCGCCAGCGUUGUCGGGGUUGUUUGUUGUAGCAGGGCAUGCCGCAGUGUCGUCCAAAUCUUCAUACUCAUCAGUGUCACGUGAUGAAGAAUAAGAGCUGCCACCAAGGAAGGAACUUUGACCUUCUUGAAUUUCUUCGGUGGAGGUGCAGACUAGUCAAAUUCUUCCUUGAGACCCAUAUUCUUCAGAUCUGCAGCGCUGUAGACAUGAGAGAGAACAACCCAGGUACGAUUGAAGGUUUCAUGGAGGUAGUAUUGGUUUUUCUUCACUACAUUGUGUGUUGAGGUCAUGUUGUGAAGAAUUGAACCAAACUGACGCUUGACCCAUUUAUGAUUGCGAUCAACCUUCUGAUGAAGACUGAGGAGUAAUUCACGGUCAGUCAUCACCCUGGGUGCUGUGGCUUGAGGAUUUUGCUUUGCUGAGGUAUUUGCGGCAGAGUCAUGUGUGGCGGAAUCGUCAUUGGUAGAGUAAGAGGCAGCCUUGCGAAAUUGACCAUCCAAUGGACGAAUGCCUUCAUCGAUCACAGCAGCGGCCUUGCCUUUAUCAUCAGCUGAUGAAACAGUCCGUUUGAGGACUUCAAUGGGAGGCAAGUAGCUACCGUGGUUCAGAGUGUCAGCUUUGUAAUUCAGUGAAGAUCUUGCCCUGAUGAAUCUCAUAAUCCAAGGAGCAUAGGGCUUCAGCUCGAAUGGUGACAUAGCAAUAUUGGCCAGAGUCCUCAUGAAGAAAUCAUGGAAGUUGACGGGAACGCCAUGAAUGAUGUUGAAAAGCAUAUUUUUCAUGAUGCCAACGACUUCUUCAUCAUUUGAGUCGUGGCCUUUGAUGGGACUCAUUGUCUUCGUCAGAAUUCGAUAGACAGUCUGAGGCAGAUAGAGUAAUUCCUUGACGAGCAAUUUGGUUCGUGGGGCCUGCCUUGGCUUCAAAGGCUUCAUCAGCACUUGCAUAUAGUGAUUUGAAAGUUCUGGUUCAUUGUAGAUACAGCGAGCAUCAUCAAGGGGAGGACUGAGUGGUAGAGCACGAAGCAAUUGAGUUGCUUGUGCCUUGUAGUGAGUAUUUUCAGACAUCCAGUCUAAUACCCAUGUGUUCACGUCUUCAGCAUCUCCGGUGAUGUGCAGAGUUGCGUAGAAUUGAAGAAUGAGUUCUUCGUUCCAGUCACAGAUAUCAAUGCAGAAAUUCAGAAGUCCUGCGGCGUGAAGAACACUGAGGACUGGCUCAAAGCCGGGCAGAGACUCCAUGUCCACAUGAGGAAUAUGUGCAUGAUCGAAGACUUUGUCUUUGUUGAAGAGCACUAAGGAAUAGAAAUUGGCUUGGCUGGCAGUCCAGAAACGCCUCUUCCUUAUGCGAGCAGAAUCAUAUGGAUUAUAGUCAGUGAAAAAUACGUGCUCGGCAAAGAAAUCUUCAGCCUUGAACUUCUAUUUGCUUGAGAACGGAUUCUUUUGCUUUGGAAGAGGGGUGUCAGUGAGUUGCAUCACCACCUCACGAAUCGCGAGCUCAGGUUCUUCAGGCUGAGGAAUUUCUUGUUCCUCAAUAGGUGCAGUCUGAGGAUCAGCUGCAGCAGGUUCAUCAGCACUAGUGGCUGGAAUUUCUUCAUGCACAGAGAGAGUGGGUUGAGUUUCUUAAAAGCCCAAUUGAACUGUUGGUGCAGGGGACUGAGGUAUCUGUUGGAGUGGGGUGAAGACAGGAGUAUUAGGAUGCUGACUUUCCCAAAAAUCAUCAUUCAUCACAGGUGUGGUGCACCCUAUAUCCACAUCUUCAUCUUCAAUUUCCUUAACACCAACCUCUUCAGCUGUGAACUAAGGCAUAGGUGAGGAAAUGACUGGCGUUGAAGGGAUUGCGUCCACUUCAAUUUCUUCAUCAAUCUGCUCUAACGAAGGAGCAGAAUGAUGUUCUUCAUCAGAUCCGACUGGGAUCUCAUGGUCUUCUCCAAAAGGAACAAGGUCCUUUGACGGCAUGGAGGAAAUCGGAACAGCAUCAAUUGGAUUUUCGAGUGAGCUGGUCAUUGGCUUCAUUUUCUUCGCAGCCGAAGAAUUUGACAUAGCUGAUGCCUUCAUUUUCUUCACUGUAGCUCGCUCUGCAGCCUUGGUUUUCUUCACAUCAAAUGCACAUGGAAGAAUUGGUGUUGGUGUAGGCGCAGGAGGAGCUGAGGAAUCUGGUUGGAUUUCUUCAGGCGCAAAUGAUGCAGUUGCCUUGACUUGUUCAGUUUCUUCAGGCGCACCACUAGUGGAUGCCCUGGCAAUUUCUUCAGCGGCUGGAAUGGGAUCAUCAGCCCUGGAACUGGCAUUUUCAUCAGUAGCCUGAACUUCAUCAGCGGUGCUGGCAUGUUCUUCAGUCGGCUGAGCUGAGGCUUCAGCCUGAGGAAUUUCAUGUUGCAUUGGGGCAGCAACAUUGGUGAAUUUCUUCGUCAGAUUGACGAAUCUGACUUUGGCUCCUUGCCAAUCAGCAUAGUAGGCAUCAAAGUCCUUGCUGAGGGCUUGAAUUUCAGACUGAGCCUGGAGAAGUACCUCAGGUGUCAUUCUGACAACGUUUUUCUUCAGCAGCUUCUCCUUUCUGUAUUGAGAUUUCUUAAUCUCUCUUGCCUUUUCAAACUUCCAUUUCUCUUCAGUGAUGAAAUGGGUCAACAUAUGACUUUGUCCAGGGGUCAGAUGAAAAUCAGGCAUUGGGGUGUUUGGAUCCUUGUGCCAGAGAUCAAUAUAAUCGAGGAUUUUCCUCGGAUCCAACAACAGUGGCACAGAUGUGCCUUUGGCUCUAGCGGCCUUCACCUGUCUGUCUCUGAUGAUUUCUGCAAGUUCAUCAUCAGAAGCUUCAUCAUUAGAAGGCACAUGGAAUGCGACCUGUUUCUUAUUUGGACUUGGCCGAGGACCUCGUCCAGCUGUUGCUUUGGUCUUCAACCGUGUGGGGCCUGAUGAGGAAAUUGGUGCAGCUGAGGAACUUGCUGAAACACCAGAGGCAAUCGAGAAACCAGCAUUCCUUUGACAUGUAGCCAGAUGCACAGGAGCUGAGGACUUUGUCGGAACUGCUGAGGACUUGGGAGGAGCAGGAGCAGUGUGAGGAAUUUGCCGUGAGGGCACAGCUGAGGAACUUGGCCGUGAGGGCGCUAUUGGUGAAGCACUUGGCUUACGAGCAGGCUUUUUUGGCAUGGAUUUCCUCGGUUUGACCGAGGCCUCAGUAGCAGUAGCAGUGGCAGAAUCCUCAUUGAAUUUCUUCACUGCCUCCUUGGCUUGCCUUGCCAAUUUGGCUUGGCGCUUAGCCCAUUCUUCAGGAAAGUCCUCACCACGUUUGAUGCUUGUGGGAUCAGCUACUUGGCCAGGUGCCAAUGGAGCUCUUGGGCAUGGAGGAUUGAGGGUGAAUUUCUUCAUGUACUUUGGAGUCACAUAUCUGUAUUCCCUCCAUUCCCUUGCCCAUCUCCGUUCAAUCUUCUGAAUGCGCACCUUGCGCUGAUUUUUGUUUUCUUUGCCAAAUUUUGCUUCAUCUGGUGUGCAAUAGUCAGCAUAAAUUUCCUCAGGGAUCUCAAACGCAGUCAUAACCUCGGGUUUCUUUCCUCCCUUCUGCGGCUUCUUACCGUCUGCCAUAUUCUUCAGUUGAGGAAUUUGAACAAUUGAGUUCUCUGAAGAAGUAUGCAGUUUUUCUUCGAGGAACGCUUGUGAUCGAAGUCAAUACCAUUUUCAUCGGUGCAUAGAUGGCCUUUUGUGGGCAUAGAAAUUUUGACGCCUUUGCAAUCUUGCAUGCCGAAUUUCCUCAGUACAUCUUUGAGGUAUUUCUCCUGAGAUAUGAAUAUGCCAUUGCGCUGUUGACGAAUUUGAAGACCUAAGAAAAAUUUCAACUCUCCCAUCAUAGACAUUUGAUAUUCUUCACUCAUCAUAUAGGAAAAUUCAUCACUAUAACAUUGGUUAGUACAGCCAAAGAUAAUAUCAUCAACAUAUAUUUGGCACACAAACAGUUCACCAUCAUAAGAUUUAGUAAAGAGAGUAGGGUCGAGUGAACCGGGUGUGAAGCCAUUCUUCACGAAGAAUUCCUUCAAUGUAUCAUACCACGCCCGAGGGGCUUGCUUGAGGCCAUAGAGGGCCUUAUUAAGUCUGAAGACUUUGUCAGGAUUCUUUGGAUCUUCAAAACUUGGGGGUUGAGCAACAUAUACUUCUUCCUCAAGCUUACCAUUGAGGAAUGCACUUUUCACAUCCAUUUGAUAUAAGAUGAUAUCAUGAUGAUUAGCAUAAGCAAGUAAUAUGCGAAUAGCCUCAAGUCUAGCAACAUGUGCAAAAGUUUCAUCGAAAUCAAUUCCUUCAACCUGUGUGUAGCCUUGAGCUACCAGUCGUGCCUUAUUCCUUACCACAAGGCCAUUUUCAUCUUGCUUGUUGCGGUAGAUCCACUUUGUGCCAAUGAUAUUAUGCUUGCGAGGAUCUGGACGUUUGACCAGUUCCCAGACAUUGUUGAGCUCGAACUGAUGUAAUUCUUCUUGCAUAGCCUGAAUCCACUCCGGCUCCAAAAAUGCUUCAUCUACCUUAGUGGGCUCUGUGAUAGAGACAAAAGCAUAGUGCCCACAAAAGUUAGAUAAAUAUGAAGCUUUUGAGCGUGUGAGAGGACCUGGCGCUUCAAUGUCAUCGAUGAUCUUGUCAACUUGUACUUCUUUUGCAACGCGAGGAUGAGCUGGUUGUCGUCGAGGUAUUUGAUCAUUUUCCUCAGCACCAUUGUCUUCAUCAUUAUCUUCAGGUGCGUCAGCUCGACGUUCUUCGCGUACUGGAAUGAAUUCUUCAGCAAGUUCUUCAGUAGGAAUGACAUCCUCAAUUGCCUUGAACUUGAUAGAAUCCUCAGGUGCUGGUUCAUCUAACACAGAAGGUAGGUGCUCUCUUUGCGAGCCAUUAGUUUCAUCGAACCGCACAUCUAUAGUUUCAACAAUCUUGUGAAGAGCGAUGUUGAAGACUCUGUAGGUGUGCGAGUCCUUUCCGUAACCAAGCAUAAAACCUUCAUGUGCUUUCGGUUCAAAUUUAGAAUUGUGGUGAGGAUCUCUAAUCCAACAUUUUGCACCGAAGACUUUGAAAUAACUCACAUUGGGUUUCUUGUCAGUGAGGAGUUCAUAGGCCGUCUUCUUAAAGAAUUUGUGAAGAUAUACUCUGUUGAUGAUGUGGCACGCAGUAUCAAUUGCAUCAAUCCAAAAAUGAUGAGGCGUUUUGUUUUCAUCAAGCAUAGUGCGAGCCAUCUCAACAAGAGUUCUGUUCUUGCGCUCCACGACGCCAUUUUGCUGAGGAGUAUAAGGAGCAGAUAACUCAUGAGUAAUACCAAGUUCAUCAAGAUAGUCAUCAAGACCGGAAUUCUUGAACUCAGUUCCAUUGUCACUUCUGAUGUGCUUGAUCUUCACACCAAAGUUGGUUGAAGCCCUUGAGGAAAAUCAUUUGAAGACUUCUUGCACUUCAUGUUUGUAAGUAACAAUGUGUACCCAUGUAUAUCGAGAGUAAUCAUCAACAAUGACAAAACCAUACAGAGGUGCAGCAUUAGAGAAUGCUGAGUAAUGAUUUGGUCCGAAGAGGUCCAUGUGAAGCAAUUCGAAUGGACGAGUAGUGGUCAUGAUAGUCUUCGCAGGAUGCUUGGCCUUGGUCAUUUUUGCAGCUUCACAGGCUCCGCAUAAGUGAUCCUUGAGGAAUUUGACAUUCUCAAUGCCAACGACAUGCUUCUUCUUUGCAAGCGUGUGCAAAUUCCUCAUGCCUGCGUGACCAAGUCGUCGAUGCCAUAGCCAGCCUUCUGAAGCUUUUGCAAGUAGGCACACGGCUGGUUGUGGUCCUGUUGAGAAAUCAACAAUAUACAAAUCUCCUCUCCUAAAGCCUUCAAAGACUUUGGAAUUGUCAGCUUCCAUAAUCACAACACAGCGAUACUUGCCAAAGACAACAAUCAUAUCAAGAUCACAAAGCAUUGAGACUGACAUGAGGUUGUAUCCUAAGGACUCAACAAGCAUGACUUUGUCCAUGUGUUUAUCCUUAGAGAUCGCAACCUUACCAAGACCCAAUACCUGACUUUUGCCUUUGUCAGCAAAGAUGAUAUGCUUCAGAUGUGACGGUGAUAAGGGAGCAUCCAUCAAAAGAUUCUUGUCACCAGUCAUGUGAUUUGUACAUCCACUAUCGAGGACCCAUUCAGUGGUUUUGGGUUGAUCAUCCUGCAGAUGAAUUAGUGUAACUUACAAUCUCAUAUGCUUCAUUAGUGAAGAAUAUGAUAUCAAGUUCAUCAAAUGAAUUUCAUCAAGCGGUAAACAGAUAUAGCAGUAUGAGGACGUGUGAAAUGCAAGUUCAUUUCAUCAUGGUUAGCCUGCGUCCUUUCAGGCAAUUUUUGUCAGGUCCCCAGCAAAUUCUUCAGACGUUAAGGCACGUCUGGAGACCUGACCUUGCAGAAGAGAUUAGUUCUUUUUCUUCACCACCCACAUCUGAAGGGGUGGCAAGGAGUUCAUCACUCUGCGAGCACCAUAUGAGAAUGGUGGCAUAGAAGCCAAACCAUUUCGUUUCACAUAAGAGGGGUUAGGGUAAGCAUAUGAAUAAGCAGAGAAAUUCUUCGAGGACUUAUGAACAUAAUGAUUUGAAGAAUAAUGUGCAUAUUCGUAGCCCUUAGCUCUACCCUGUGAAACAGAGUUGUUAGCAUGAUGAUAGUCAUAUGAGGACUUCGAUCCAUUUGAGGAAUUUGAUCCAUAUGAGGAAUUUGGUCCGUAUGAGGACUUGGAUCCAUAUGAAGAAUUUGGUCCAUAUGAAGAGUUUGAUCUGGGGUUCCUAUUCUUCACAGGUGGUGUCAUGAGGACAUUCACCUGAAGACUUUCAACAUAACUUUUGGGAACCCAGAUUUUCUUCAUAGGGGAACCGUUCCUGCAGUUAGUCCCAACAUAUCUAGCAAAUACUUCACCAUUCUGAUUUUUGAACAGUUUAUAGUUGGAGUCAAAUGACUCAUCAAAAGAAUGAGGAGAUUCACAUGUAAAGCCAGAUAAGUUGGAUGGAUCAACUGGAGGUCCCUUUGCAGCAACCCAUGAGGUUUUGGGGUACUGCUCAGGUUUCCAAUAUGUUCCAUCAGCAUUAAGUUUCCUCUCAAAGGGAAUACCCUCUUUCCUAGGGUUUCUGUUGAGGCUCUGCUUUUUGAGCACAUCACAAAGAAUCUGAUGCCCCUUGAGGCUUUUGUACAUGCCUGUAGUGUACAGUUCCUUCAGCCCUGCAUCGUCAGUGAUACUAGCAAUGUCCUCAGAUGAGGAAUUAGUGAUGGCAGAGGCAGGUGAAGAAUUUGUAACAGUUGAAGCAUUUGAGCAUUCAGGUGAAGAAUUAGCAGAUUCACGUUCAAUGCACUUUAAGCAUGGAGGAACAAAUUCUUCCUGAGAAGUGCUGAUUUGUUGAGCAAGUAAUGAAUCGCGCUCCUUCUGAAGAUCUUCAUAACUCACUCUUAGCUUCUCAAGAUCUUGCUUUCUUUGAAGAAAUUCAUAAGAAAGUUUCUCAUGAUCAGAUAAGAGAGUGUUAUGAUGACUUUGAAGGUUAUCAAACCUAGACUGAAGUCUCUGAAGAUUUUCAGUCAGGGCUUUAGUGCGAUCCAUUUCUUCACCCAACAUAUCAUCACUUUUAUCUAGCAUGUUUUGAACCUUUUCAAAAGCCCGUUGUUGUUUUACAGCAAUCUUUGCAAGUUUAGAGUAGCUGGGCUUGAGAUUCUCAUCAGAUUCAUUUUCACUAGAUUCAGAGGAGGUGUAUUUGAGUACCUUUGCACCUUUUGCCAUGAAGCAAUAGGUGGGAGCAUAGUCAUCAUUAUCUUCAUCAGGCUUGUCGGUGGGGUCAGUUUCUUCAGUGUUGAAGAUGGACUUGCUAACGAAAGCAGUAGCGAAGGCCAGACUCGCCACGCCAGAUUCGGAUUAUUUAGACGCCUCCUCUUCCUCAUUUUCCUCAGAUUCAGCUUCAGAGUCCAUUUCCUUGCCAAUGAAUGCCCGAGCCUUCUUGGAGCUGCUCUUCUUGUGAGAUGAAGACUUCGAGGAUUUUGAUGACGAAGAUUUUGACGAUUUCUUCUUCUUCUUCGCAUCAUCAGAACUAUAAUCCUUGUAUUUCUUCUUCUUCAAUUCCUUUUCCCACUGAGGACAAUCUUGAAUAUAAUGACCAGGUUUCUUGCAUUUGUGAUACAGCGUUCUCUUAUAGUCACUUGAUGAGGAAUCACUGCUUCUUGAGGAUUUUCCAAAGCGACCACGUCUUGAGAACUUCUAGAAUUUCUUCAUGAGCAGUGCUAGCUCCUGGCUCAAUUCUUCAGGAUCACCAAGGCUACUACCAGAGUCCUCACAUUCAGACUCAGACACAACCUUGGCCUUUAGGGCACAUGGUUUGCCAUAGCUUGAACCAUAGAGAUCUCUCUUUUCAGCAAGCUGAAAUUCGUGAGUAUUUAGCCUUUCGAGGAUAUCGGCAGGAUCAAGAGACUUGCAGUCAGCCCGUUCUUGUAUCAUCAGACCCAGAGUAUCAAAUGAGGAAUCAAGCGAUCUCAACAGUUUCUUCACCACCUCAUGGUCAGUGAUGUCAGUGGCACCGAGGGCUUGAAGCUCAUUUGAGAUGUCAGUGAGGCGAUCAAAGGUUUGUUGGACAUUCUCAUUGUCGAGUCUUUUGAAGCGGUUGAAGAGAUUCCGAAGAACAUCAACUCGAGAGUCACGCUGAGUUGAGACUCCUUCAUUCACUUUGGACAGCCUAUCCCACAUAAGCUUAGCAGUUUCCAAAGCACUCACUCUUCCAUACUGUCCUUUUACUCAGAUGGCCACAUAUGAUAUUCUUCGCUUGAGAAUCGAGUUGCUUGAAUCUCUUCACAUCGGUAGCGUUCAGUGAGGGUGAAAUAGAGGGAACACCAUUUUCCACAACAUACCAGAGAUCGUUGUCAAUUGCCUCGAGAUGCAUUCGCAUCUUGUUUUUCCAGUAGGGGUAGUCCGUCCCAUCAAAGGUAGGACACCCAGCUGAGACCUUGAUCAUACCUGCGGUCGACAUAACUAAAACUCUAGGCGGUUAAACCAAAAUCACACAGAACAAGGGAGUACCUUGCUCUGAUACCAAUUGAAAGUGCAUUAUGUCGACUAGAGGGGGGGUGAAUAGGCGAUUUUUAAGAAUUCUUCACUGAGGAAUUUACCGGUGAGGAAAUUCCUUAGCGAAGAACUAUUAGCAGCGGAAUAAGUACUCAGAAGUAAGCAUAACAGAAUACACGCAUGGUCAUCAUGAUGAAAUGAAGACUAGCACAGAGUAUAGAAAGCGUAAUCACAGGAUAACACAAGAUGAAGACAAACAGACUGAAGAAAUUGAGCUAAGGAAAUUGAGAAAGUCUUUAGUCAAAGUCUUCAAACACAGAUAUGAACAAACACUCAACACAGUAAUGAGGAAAUGAAAGGGUUGAUGAAAUAGAACCAGUUAGGUUGGUGAAGACAAUGAUUUGGUAGACCAGUUCCAACUGCUGUCUCAGUUGUACGUCUGGUUGGAGCGGCUGAGUAUUUAAACUCGAGGACACGUAGUCCCGGACACCCAGUCGCUGAGCACGCAGCUCAGGACACCCAGUCCUCACCGUAUUCUCCUUGAACUAAGGUCAUGCAGACCUUGUCCAAUCACUCGUGGUAAGUCUUCAGGCGACUUCCAAACCUUCACAGACUUGGUCACUCGGCGAUCCACAAUUCCUCUUGGAUGCUCUAGACCUUGACGCCUAACCGUCUGGAAGAAGCACAAUCUUCAAAGGUAACAAGCGUCGGAUCCACGCGGGAUCAAUUUCUUCAGUGAUGCUCAAUCACUUUGGGUUUGUAGGGGUUUGGUUUUAGGGUUUUUCCUCACUCGAUGAUUUUCUCUCAAAGUCCUCGGAGGAUGGGUUGCUCUCAAAUGACAAGUGUCAAGUUCUAUCGGAGCAGCCAACCAGCUAGUGGUUGUAGGGGGCGGCUAUUUAUAGCCUAGGGAGCAGCCCGACAUGAUAAGACAUAAAUGCCCCUCAAUGAUAUGACCGUUAGGUGGAUAAGAUAUUUUGGGACAGCUGGCGCGCAGCACAGCAAUGGUCGGAAAUUUGACUCUCAAAUUCCUCAGGGCUAUCAUGUUCCUCACUGUGUAGGUAAUUCGCACUGGCGAAUUCCUAACUCCUCAGUCAGAACAAAUUCAUCAGCGACCAGAAGAACUUCAUCUCUGUCACUGAAGAAAGUGACUGAACUGUAUGAGAUUUCCAAAGGCUUCACUCAAAGGGAUUGGUAGGUGUAGGAUUUUGAGUUGAGCAUCACAUGGAAAUUUUUCCUUAGUAUUUCCUCGACCCCCUUUAACAGUACGGUGUUUCCUAUGACUCAAGAAGGAGAAAAUGAAACUACGAAAACAUAAGUCUUCACGCUUCAUGUUCCACAGAUGAAUACCAAGUCUUCAAGGUCACACCAAUUUCUUCACUUUCAAAGUCUUCAGAAAGUCUUCAGAAUAUCAAAGUCUUCAGUUGAAGAACUUCAUUUUUAGGGGUCGACUUUGUCUGUAAAUAUCAAACUCCUCAUAGACUUAUAGACCUGUGUACACUCACAAACGCAUUAGUCCCUUAACCUAUAAGUCUUCAAUACACCAAAAUCACUAAGGGGCACUAGAUGCACUUACACCUGCAAGUUUUCAUAUUUUUCCGGCACCCUAUGAAUUUCCUAUGGUUUUCUCCGUGAAACACACCGAAAACACUGAUCGGGCGUGACACAACGUGCGUUUGGUGUCCAAAUUCGUUCAACUUUUGUGUGGGGCCCUACGAUGGGCAUGCCCACUGCAUCCCAUUACAAAAAGCUCAUUAUUCUUCCUUAUAAAUUAAAAAAACAACGCACUAUUAUUAUGUAAACACAUUUAGCCGUUAAUGCAACACAUUACAGUACUAAACUUUCCAUAUAUUUAAAAUAUAUUUUAGACAUUAAUUAACAUUACAUAAAUAUUAAACAUGUAAUUAUUAAUCUACACAAAUAACUUAUUAGAAAAUUCAUUACAAAAAAACUCAUUAUCAAUUAAUUAUCGAAAAACUCAUUAUUGUUUUAGCAAUUACUUAUAAAAUACUCAUUAGUUUUUCGUAUAAAAUUAAAUAAACAACUCGUUAUUAUUAUAAGUAAUAUAGUUGGUUUUUUAUUAAUUAUAGAAUUUCUGUAUACUAUAAGCCAGGCAUAAAUAACUAAAAAACUUAAUACUAUUUAAAAAAACAAAACAACAGGCACUGACUGAGCGCGAUGGCCCAGUGACUGUGCGCGACGGCACGCCUGGGCCGGCCCAUUGAGUGUGCGCGUGGUGCGGGGGCAGGGUCGGCGGGGUGAGGACUAAAGUUUAGUCCCACCUCGCCCGCCGAACCACGCCACGACCUGCUUAUAUACCAAGUUCCUACCACCGUUUUGAACUCCUCUGAUUCCGGCCCCGCCCCGCCUCUGCCCCAUUGGUCUGUGCUGCAGGCCGUAGCUGGGCCGAAAGGCCGGCCCUUUCGCUACCCGGCUUGAUCGGGCCGGACCGAUUAGGCGCAGUUGCGGCGUGCAAGCACAGGUGGGUUUUUUUUUCAUCAAUAUUAAAAAAAUACUGAUUAUUUUUACCUAUAAAUUGUAAUAAAAAACUCAUUAUUCUUACUUAUAAAUUAAAAAAACAGCGCAUUAUUAUUAUGUAAACACAUUUAGCCGUUAAUGCAACAGAUUACAAUACUAAACUUUGCAUAUAUUUUAAAAAUUAUUUAGACAUGUAUUAACAUUACAUAAAUAUUAAAAAUGUAAUUACUAAUUGACAGAAAUAACUGAUUAAAAUAUUCACUACAAAAAAACUCAUUAUGAAUUAAUUAUCAAAAAACUCAUUAUUGUUUUAGCAAUUAAUUAUAAAAAACUCAUUAGUUUUUCGUAUAAAUUUUAAUAAACAACUGAUUAUUAUUAUAAUAAAUAUAGUUAACAAUUCUAUAUUACGUAUGGAGUUUUAUUAAUAUUAUUUUUAAAACAAAAAACAAAAAAGUCUUCGACAACAUGCAUUGGCCGGCACAGAGACAGUGCGCGACGGCGCGCCUGGGCCGGCCCAUUGACUCUGCGCGCGGUGCGGGGGCAGGGUCGGCGGGGGUGAGGACUAAAGUUUAGUCCCACUUCGCCCGCCGAACCACGCCGCGACCUGCUUAUAUACCAAGCUCCUACCACCAUUUCGAACUCCUCUGAUUCCCGCCCCGCUCCGCCUGUGCCUCGUUGGUCUGUGCUGCAGGCCGUAGCUGGGCCGAAAGGCCGGCCCUUUCGCUACCCGGCUUGAUCGGGCCGGACCGGUUAAGUGCAGUUGUGGCCUGCAAGCACAGUAGGCAUUUUUUUUACAAUUUUUUUCCUUCUAUAAAUAGUUCUUAUAAUUGUUUUUUUCUUUCUAUAAAUUUUUCUUAUAGUGUUCCACCUGAAGGAAAUAUGCCCUAGAGGCAAUAAUAAAGUUAUUAUUUAUUUCCUUAUUUCAUGAUAAAUGUUUAUUAUUCAUGUUAGAAUUGUAUUAAUCGGAAACAUAAUACAUGUGUGAAUACAUAGACAAACAUAGUGUCACUAGUAUGCCUCUACUUGACUAGCUCGUGAAUCAAAGAUGGUUAAGUUUCCUAGCAAUGGACAAAAUAGUUGUCAUUUGAUUAGCGGGAUCACAUCAUUAGGAGAAUGAUGUGAUUGACUUGACCCAUUUCGUUAGCUUAGCACACGAUCGUUUAGUAUGUUGCUACUGCUUUCUUCAUGACUUAUACAUGUUCCUGUUACUAUGAGAUUAUGCAACUCCCGUUUACCAGAGGAACACUUUGUGUGCUACCAAACGUCACAACGUAACUGGGUGAUUAUAAAGGAGUACUAUGGGUGUCUCCAAAGGUACAUGUUGGGUUGGCGUAUUUCGAGAUUAGGUUUUGUCACUCCGAUUGUCGGAGAGGUAUCUCUGGGCCCUCUCGGUAAUGCACAACACUUAAGCCUUGCAAGCAUUAUAACUAAUGAGUUAGUUGCGGGAUGAUGUAUUACGGAACGAGUAAAGAGACUUGCCGGUAACGAGAUUGAACUAGGUAUUGAGAUACCGACGAUCGAAUCUCGGGCAAGUAACAUACCGGUGACAAAGGGAACAACGUAUGUUGUUAUGCGGUUUGACCGAUAAAGAUCUUCGUAGAAUAUGUAGGAGCUAAUAUGAACAUCCAGGUUCCACUAUUGGUUAUUGACCGGAAACAGUUCUAGGUCAUGUCUACAUAGUUCUCGAACCCGUAGGGUCCGCACGCUUAACGUUACGAUGACAGUUUUAUUAUGAGUUUAUAAGUUUUGAUGUACCGAAGGUUGUUCCGAGUACCGGAUGUGAUCACGGACAGGACGAGGAGUCUUGAAAUGGUCGAGACAUAAAGAUUGAUAUAUUGGACGGAUAUAUUUGGACACCGGAAAGGUUCCGGAUGAGAUUGGGACUAUACGGGAGUUCCGGGAGGUUACCGGACCCCCGUGGUAAGUAUAUGGGCCUUAUUGGGCCUUAGUGGAAGGGAGGAAGAAGGAGCAAAGGAGGGGGCGCGCCCCCCCCAAGCCCAAUCCGAAUUGGGAGGGGGGCCGGCCCCCCCUUUCCUUCUUCCCUCCCCUCUCUUCCUUCCCUCUCCUACUCCUAAUAGGAAAGGAGGGCCAAACCUACUUGCAGUAGGUUUGCCCCCCCUAGGGCGCGCCUCCCCUCUUGGCCGGCCCCCUCCUCCUCUCCCCCUUUAUAUACGGAGGAGGGGGGCACCCCAUAGACACACAAGUUGAUCUACGGAUCGUUCCUUAGCCGUGUGCGGUGCCCCCCUCCACCAUAUUCCACCUGGGUCAUAUCGUCGCGGAGUUUAGGCGAAGCCCUGCGCCGGUAGAACAUCAUCAUCGUCACCACGCCGUCGUGCUGACGGAACUCAUCCCCGACGCUUUGCUGGAUUGGAGCCCGGGGAACGUCAUCGAGCUGGAUGUGUGCUGAACACGGAGGUGCCGUACGUUCGGUGCUUGGAUCGGUCGGAUCGUGAAGACGUACGACUACAUCAACCGCGUUGUCAUAACGCUUCCGCUUAACCGUCUAUGAGGGUACAUAGACAACACUCUCCUCUCUCGUUGCUAUGCCAUCACCAUGAUCUUGCGUGUGCGUAGGCAAAUUUUGAAAUUACUACGUUCCCCAACAGUGGUAUUAGAGCCUAGGUUUUAUGCGUUGAUGUUAUAUGCACGAGUAGAACACAAGUGAGUUGUGGGCGAUACAAGUCAUACUGCUUACCAGCAUGUCAUACUUUGGUUCGGCGGUAUUGUUGGAUGAAGCGGCCCGGACCGACAUUACGCGUACGCUUACGCGAGACUGGUUUUACCGCCAUGCUUUGCACACAGGUGACUAGCGGGUGUCAGUUUCUCCAACUUUAGUUGAACCGAGUGUGGCUACGCCCGGUCCUUGCGAAGGUUAAAACAACACUAACUUGACGAACUAUCGUUGUGGUUUUGAUGCGUAGGUAAGAACGGUUCUUGCUAAGCCCGUAGCAGCCACGUAAAACUUGCAACAACAAAGUAGAGGACGUCUAACUUGUUUUUGCAGGGCAUGUUGUGAUGUGAUAUGGUCAAGACGUGAUGCUAUAUUUAUUGUAUGAGAUGAUCAUGUUUUGUAACCGAAGUUAUCGGCAACUGGCAGGAGCCAUAUGGUUGUCGCUUUAUUGUAUGAAAUGCAAAUGCCCUGUAAUUGCUUUACUUUAUCACUAAGCGGUAGCGAUAGUCGUAGAAGCAAUAGAUGGCAUAAACGACAACGAUGGUACGAUGGAGAUCAAGGUGUCGCGCCGGUGACGAUGGUGAUCAUGACGGUGCUUCGGAGAUGGAGAUCACAAGCACAAGAUGAUGAUGGCCAUAUCAUAUCACUUAUAUUGAUUGCAUUUGAUGUUUAUCCUUUAUGCAUCUUAUCUUGCUUUGAUUGACGGUAGCAUUUUAAGAUGAUCUCUCACUAAAAAUUAUCAAGAAGUGUUCUCCCUGAAUAUGCACCGUUGCCAAAGUUCGUCGUGCCAGACACCACGUGAUGAUCGGGUGUGAUAAGCUCUACGUCCAUCUACAACGGGUGCAAGCCAGUUUUGCACACGCAGAAUAUUCAGGUUAUACUUGACAAUCCUAGCAUAUGCAGAUAUGGCCUCGGAACACAGAGACCGAAAGGUCGAGCGUGAAUCAUAUAGUAGAUAUGAUCAACAUAGUGAUGUUCACCAUUGAAAACUACUCCAUCUCACGUGAUGAUCGGUUAUGGUUUAGUUGAUUUGGAUCACGUAAUCACUUAGAUGACCAGAGAGAUAUCUAUCUAAGUGGGAGUUCUUAAGUAAUAUGAUUAAUUGAACUUAAAUUUAUCAUGAACUUAGUCCUGGUAGUAUUUUGCAAAUUAUGUUGUAGAUCAAUAGCUUGCGUUGUUGCUUUCAUAUGUUUAUUUUGAUAUGUUCCUAGAGAAAAUUGUGUUGAAAAAUGUUAGUAGCAAUGAUGCGGAUUGGAUCCGCGAUCUAAGGUUUAUCCUCAUUGCUGCACAGAAGAAUUAUGUCCUUAAUGCACCACUAGGUGACAGACCUAUUGCAGGAGCAGAUGCAGACGUUAUGAACGUUUGGCUAGCUCAAUAUGAUGACUACUUGAUAGUUUAGAAAUGGCUUAGAAUCGGGACUUCAAAGACGUUUUGAACGUCAUGGACCAUAUGAGAUGUUCCAGGAAUUGAAGUUAAUAUUUCCAGCAAAUACCCGAGUUGAGAGAUAUGAAGUCUCCAACAAGUUCUAUGGCUAAAAGAUGGAGGAGAAUCGCUCAACUAGUGAGCAUGUGCUCAGAUUGUCUGGAUACUACAAUCGCUUGAAUCAAGUGGGAGUUAAUCUUCCAGAUAAGAUAGUGAUUGAUAGAGUUCUCUAGUCACCAUCACCAAGUUAGUAGAACUUUGUGAUGAACUACAGUAUGCAAGGGAUGACGAAAACGAUUCCCGAGCUCUUCGUGAUGUUGAAAUCAACGAAGGUAGAAAUCAAGAAAGAGCAUCAAGUGUUGAUGGUUGACAAGAUCACUAGUUUCAAGAAAAGGGCAAAGGGAAAGAAAGGGAACUUCAACUAGAAUGACAAGCAAGUUGUCACUCCCACGAAGAAGUCCAAAGCUGAACCAAAGCCUGAAACUGAGUGCUUACACUGCAAAGGAAAUGGUCACUGGAAGCAGAAAUGCCCUGAAUAUUUGGUGGAUAAGAAGGAUGGCAAAGUGAACAAGGGUGUAUUUGAUAUACAGGAUAUUGAUGUGUGCCUUACUAGUGUUUAUAGUAGCCCCUGAGUAUUUGAUACUUGUUCGGUUGCUAAGAUUAGUAACCCGAAAUAGGAGUUACAGAAUAAACAGAGACUAGUUGAAGGGGAAGUGACGAUGAGUGUUGGAAGUAGUUCCAAGAAUGAUAUGAUCAUCAUCGCACACUCUUUAUACUUUCGGGAUUAGUGUUAAACCUAAAUAAAUGUUAUUUGGCGUUUGCAUUGAGCAUGAAUAUGAUUUGAUCAUGUUUAUUGUGAUACAGUUAUUCCUCUAAAGUUAAAGAAUAAUUGUUAUUCUGUUUACAUGAAUAAGACCUUCGAUGGUUAUACACCCAAUGAAAAUAGUUUGUUGGAUCUCGAUCGUAGUGAUACACAUAUUCAUAAUAUAGAUGCCAAAAGAUGCAAAGUUAAUAAUGAUAGUGCAAACUUAUUUGUGACACUGCCGUUUGGGUCAUAUCGGUGUAAAGCGCAUGAAGAAACUCCAUAAAGAUGGAUUUUCGGAAUCACUUGGUUAUGAAUCAUUUGAUGCUUGCGAACCGUGCCUUUGGGCGAGAUGACUAAAACUUCGUUCUUCGGAACAAUGGAACGAGCAACAAACUUGUUGGAAAUAAUACAUACUGAUGUAUGAAGACCAGUGAGUAAUAAGGCUCGCGGCGGGUAUCAUUAUUUUCUGACCUUCGUAGAUGAUUUGAGUAGAUAUGGGUAUAUCUACUUGAUGAAACAUAAGUCUGAAAUAGUUGAAAGGUUCAAAGAAUUUCAGAGUGAAGUGGAAAAAUCAUCAUAACAAGAAAAUAAAAUUUCUGCGAUCUGAUCGCGGAGACGAAUAUUUGAGUUACGAGUUUGGUCUUCAAUUAAAACAAUGUGGAAUAGUUUCACAGCUCACGCCACCUGGAACACCACAACGUUAUGGUGUGUCCGAACGUCGUAACCGCACUUUAUUGGAUAUGGUGCGAUCUAUGAUGUCUCUUACUGAUUUACCAUUAUCGUUUUGGGGUUAUGCAUUAGAGACAGCUGCAUUCACGUUUAAAAGGGCACCAUCUAAAUCCGUUGAGACGACACCGUAUGAACUAUGGUUUAGUAGUAUACCUAAGCUGUCGUUUCUUAAAGUUUGGAGUUGCGAUGCUUAUAUGAAAAAGUUUCAACUUGAUAAGCUCGAACCCAAAUCGGAGAAGUGCGUCUUCAUAGAAUACCCAAAGGAAACUUUUGGGUACUCCUUCUAUCACAAAUCCAAAGGAAAAACAUUCAUUGCUAAGAAUGGAUCCUUUCUAGAGAAGGAGUUUCUCUCGAAAGAAGUGAGUGGUAGGAAAGUAGAACUUGAUGAGGUAAUUGUACCUGCUCCCUUAUUUGAAAGUAGUUCAUCAUAGAAAUCUGUUCCUAUGACUACUACACCAAUUAGUGAGGAAGUUAAUGAUGAUGAUCAUGAAACUUCAGAUUAAGUUACUACAGAACCUCGUAGGUCUUCCAGAGUAAGAUCCACACCGGAGUGGUACGGUAAUCCUGUUCUGGAAGUUAUGUUACUAGACCAUGACGAACCCACGAACUAUGAAGAAGCGAUGGUGAGCCCAGAUUCCGCAAAAUGGCUUGAGGCCAUGAGAUCUGAGAUAAGAUCCAUAUAUGAAAACAAAGUAUGGACUUUGAUUGACUUGCCCAAUGAUCGGUGAGACAUUGAGAUUAAAUGGAUCUUCAAGAGGAAGACGGACGCUGAUAGUGUUACUAUCUACAAAGCUAGAAUUGUCGCAAAAGGUUUUCGACAAGUUCAAGGUGUUGACUAUGAUGAGAGUUUUUCACUCGUAUCUAUGCUUAAGUCUGUCUGAAUCAUGUUAGCAAUUGCCACAUUUUAUGAAAUCUGGCAAAUGGAUGUCAAAACUGCAUUCCUUAAUGGAUUUUUUAAAGAAGAGUUGUAUAUGAUGCAACCAGAAGGUUUUGUCGAUCCGAAAGGUGCUAACAAAAUGUGCAAGCUCCAGCGAUCCAUCAAUGGACUGGUGCAAGCAUCUCGGAGUUGGAAUAUACGCUUUGAUAAGUUGAUCAAAGCAUAUAGUUUUAAUACAGACUUACGGUGAAGCCUGUAUUUACAAGAAAGUGAGUGGGAGCACUACAGCAUUUCUGAUAAGUAUAUGUGAAUGACAUAUUGUUGAUCGGAAAUAAUGUAGAAUUUUUCAGGAAAGCAUAAAGGAGUGUUUGAAAGGAGUUUUUCAAAGGAAGACCUUGGUGAAGCUGCUUACACAUUGAGCAUCAAGAUCUAUAGAGAUAGAUCAAGACGCUUGAUAAGAUUUUUCAAUGAGUACAUACCUUGACAAGAUUUUGAAGUAGUUCAAAAUGGAACAGUCAAAGAAAGAGUUCUUGCCUGUGUUGCAAGGUGUGAAGUUGAGUAAGACUCAAAACCCGACCAUGGCAGAAAAUAGAAAAGAAUGAACAGUCAUUCCCUAUGCCUCAGUCAUAGGUUCUAUAAAGUAUGUUAUGCUGUGUACUAGACCUAUUGUAUACCUUGCUCUGAGUUUGGCAAAGGAAUACAAUUUUCAUCUAAAAGUAGAUCACUAGAACAGCGGUCAAGACUAUCCUUAGUGAGGACUAAGGAGAUGUUUCUCGAUUAUGGAGGUGAUAAAAGAGCCAGUCAUAAAAGGUUACAACGAUGCAAGCUUUUACACCAAUCCAGAUGACUCUAAGUCUCAAUCUGGAUACAUAUUGAAAGUGGGAGCAAUUAGCUAGAGUAGCUCCGUGCAGAGCAUUGUGGACAUAGAAUAUUUGCAAAAUACAUACGGCUCUGAAUGUGACAGACCCGUUGACUAAACUUCUCUCAUGAGCAAAACAUGAUCAUACCUUAGUACUCUUUGGGUGUUAAUCACAUAGCCAUGUGAACUAGAUUAUUGACUCUAGUAAACCCUUUGGGCAUUGAUCACAUGACGAUGUGAACUAUGGGUAUUAAUCACAUACAGAUGUGAAUAUUGGUGUUAAAUCACAUGGUGAUGUGAACUAUAUUAUUGACUCUAGUGCAAGUGGGAGACUGAAGGAAAUAUGCCCUAGAGGCAAUAAUAAAGUUAUUAUUUAUUUCCUUAUUUCAUGAUAAAUGUUUAUUAUCCAUGUUAGAAUUGUAUUAACCGGAAACAUAAUACAUGUGUGAAUACAUAGACAAACAUAGUGUCACAAGUAUGCCUCUACUUGACUAGCUCGUGAAUCAGAGAUGGUUAAGUUUCCUAGCCAUGGACAAAAUAGUUGUCAUUUGAUUAACGGGAUCACAUCAUUAGGAGAAUGAUGUGAUUGACUUGACCCAUUCCGUUAGCUUAGCACACGAUCGUUUAGUAUGUUGCUACUGCUUUCUUCAUGACUUAUACAUGUUCCUGUGACUAUGAGAUUAUGCAACUCCCGUUUACCAGAGGAAGACUUUGUGUGCUACCAAACGUCACAACGUAACUGGGUGAUUAUAAAGGAGUACUACGGGUGUCUCCAAAGGUACAUGUUGGGUUGGCGUAUUUCGAGAUUAGGUUUUGUCACUCCGAUUGUCGGAGAGGUAUCUCUGGGCCCUCUCGGUAAUGCACAUCACUUAAGCCUUGCAAGCAUUGUAACUAAUGAGUUAGUUGCGUGAUGAUGUAUUACGGAACGAGUAAAGAGACUUGCCGGUAACGAGAUUGAACUAGGUAUUGAGAUACCGACGAUCGAAUCUCGGGCAAGUAACAUACCGAUGACAAAGGGAACAACGUAUGUUGUUAUGCGGUUUGACCGAUAAAGAUCUUCGUAGAAUAUGUAGGAGCCAAUAUGAACAUCCAGGUUCCACUAUUGGUUAUUGACCGGAAACAGUUCUAGGUCAUGUCUACAUAGUUCUCGAACCCGUAGGGUCCGCACGCUUAACGUUACGAUGACAGUUUUAUUAUGAGUUUAUAAGUUUUGAUGUACCGAAGGUUGUUCGGAGUACCGGAUGUGAUCACGGACAUGACGAGGAGUCUCGAAAUGGUCGAGACAUAAAGAUUGAUAUAUUGGACAGAUAUAUUUGGACACCGGAAAGGUUCCGAAUGAGAUUGGGACUAUACCGGAGUUCCGGGAGGUUACCGGACCCCCCCGGUAAGUAUAUGGGCCUUAUUGGGCCUUAGUGGAAGGGAGGAAGAAGGAGCAAAGGAGGGGGCGCCCCCCCCCUCAAGCCCAAUCCGAAUUGGGAGGGGGGCCGGCCCCCCUUUCCUUCUUCCCUCCCCUCUCUUCCUUCCCUCUCCUACUCCUAAUAGGAAAGGGGGGCCAAACCUACUUGGAGUAGGUUUGCCCCCCUAGGGAGCGCCUCCCCUCUUGGCCGGCCCCCUCCUCCUCUCCCCCUUUAUAUACGGAGGAGGGGGGAACCCCAUAGACACACAAGUUGAUCUAUGGAUCGUUCCUUAGCCGUGUGCGGUGCCCCCCUCCACCAUAUUCCACCUCGGUCAUAUCGUCGCGGAGUUUAGGCGAAGCCCUGCGCCGGUAGAACAUCAUCAUCGUCACCAUGCCAUCGUGCUGACGGAACUCAUCCCCGACGCUUUGCUGGAUUGGAGCCCGGGGAACGUCAUCGAGCUGGACGUGUGCUGAACACGGAGGUACCGUACGUUCGGUGCUUGGAUCGGUCGGAUCGUGAAGACGUACGACUACAUCAACCGCGUUGUCAUAACGCUUCUGCUUAACGGUCUACGAGGGUACGUAGACAACACUCUCCCCUCUCGUUGCUAUGCCAUAACCAUAAUCUUGCGUGUGCGUAGGAAAAUUUUGAAAUUACUACGUUCCCCAACACCACCAUUAUCAGCAUGAUGCAUGCCAAGUUUUUUUGUAUUUUUCAUCGCUUUAUGAAUGUUCUAUAAUUUUAACGAAUAUGUCGACAAGUUGGCCUCCUUCUCCAGACCCCGUUUGGGCAGGACCGAAGGCCCCGUCUGAAAGGAGUUUUUUCCGACAACCUUCAAAUGUACACACAUUUUUUAUACUGUUCCACCAUCAUCAUUAGGAUGCAUGAAAAGUUUUCUGGCUUUUUUAUCGCUUUAAAUUUUUUUCAGAGACCGUUCGAGUAUGAGUGAAGGCCCCAUGCAUGCGUAAUCGAGCACUGAAUUUUCUCGUAAUGUUGAAAUGCAUGUUUCCGUUUAUUUUUUAAAGUUGCACGACUAACAUCAAAUUAAACAUACGUUUUUUUUAAGAUAAGCCAUUCCGAGUUCAUUCAUAAUUCAAACUACCUUACAUAACAGUAAACAUAACCGAGCACUGCUCUUACAUAACUUAGACCGAAAUUUAAAUAAAAACCCUAAAACUAGACUACUCGUCGUCACUGGCGCCGGUGAGGUCGACGACCGGCGCCAUACUGCUGGCCUCUCCUUCGCCGCCGUCGCCGCCAUCGUCGUCGUCGUCGUCGCUGAAAUCCCACCAGUUGUCUUCCCGCGCCUGCUGCUCCUGCACCGCCGCUAUGGCCGCCAGCCGCUCUCGUUCCUCACGAGUGGCCGCCGCCACCGCCUCCUCUGCCGACUGGGCCAGCACCGCAAGUAGCCCUGGCGUGUCGUCGGGGUCUCCGUCUUGCGCGAGGGCGGCCUGCGCCGGCGGGAUCUCGACCAGCGCCGGGUCAGGGGGCACCUGCUGUGCCGGGGCAGUUGGGGCGGCUGGAGGUGGGCCGUGGCGGCGGCGACCACGGGAAGUGCCGGCCUCGCCGGUAAUGUCCCCGACGGUGCGGCCGGCCACCGCAUCCCUGAACGCGCCGAGUACGAUGUCGAAGUUCUUCCCGCGCCACCACCUGCGCCGGGCCCUCCGGUUGUAGCGGCCGCCAGGGAACGCGUGGAGCUGCUGCCUCGUCGGCGGCGGUCCCAUGGUGGGGAUGCCGUCCGCCCCAAUCCGCCACGGCCGCGGCACUUUGGCUGCCGGCGGCACCAUCACGCUGAACCGGGCCAGAUCCUUCGUGUCGCCGACGGUGAGGCUCAGCGGCCAAACGCCGAUCGGCCACGCGCCCUCGUCGGAGUCACUUGAAGACAUUGUCGGCGAGGAGAGGGAGAUGGGAGGGCAAGGAGAGGAAGGGAGAUGGGCGGGGCGAGGAAGAUGGCACGCCGUGGUGAGGGCUGGCGCGGCCUUUUAUAGACACCGGGGGAGGGAGGUGGGCGGGCGAGCCGUCGGUGGCGUGCGCCCCGAGGGAGAGGCGGGCGGCUGGCGGCACGCGCGACCACGGUGGCGUGUGAAAGCGAGACAGCGGCGGCGUGUGAAGGCGCGGCGCGGCAGGCGAGGGAUCGGUGGCGUGGGAAGGCGCGAGGACNNNNNNNNNNNNNNNNNNNNNNNNNNNNNNNNNNNNNNNNNNNNNNNNNNNNNNNNNNNNNNNNNNNNNNNNNNNNNNNNNNNNNNNNNNNNNNNNNNNNNNNNNNNNNNNNNNNNNNNNNNNNNNNNNNNNNNNNNNNNNNNNNNNNNNNNNNNNNNNNNNNNNNNNNNNNNNNNNNNNNNNNNNNNNNNNNNNNNNNNNNNNNNNNNNNNNNNNNNNNNNNNNNNNNNNNNNNNNNNNNNNNNNNNNNNNNNNNNNNNNNNNNNNNNNNNNNNNNNNNNNNNNNNNNNNNNNNNNNNNNNNNNNNNNNNNNNNNNNNNNNNNNNNNNNNNNNNNNNNNNNNNNNNNNNNNNNNNNNNNNNNNNNNNNNNNNNNNNNNNNNNNNNNNNNNNNNNNNNNNNNNNNNNNNNNNNNNNNNNNNNNNNNNNNNNNNNNNNNNNNNNNNNNNNNNNNNNNNNNNNNNNNNNNNNNNNNNNNNNNNNNNNNNNACGCGCGGCAGUGGACGGCGCGGACUACGAGGCUACCAUGCUGGCGGCAGGCGCCCGGUCGCCCGCACGCGCGGCAGUGGAGGGCGCGGGCGGCACGAGAUCUGCCGCGAGCAGUCGGCGCUUGCAUGCGCGCCGCCAAAACUGCAAAGCAGUUAAUGCACGACGGCACGGCCGUCCGUGCCGACUUUUUUUAAAAAAAACACGCCCUCACGGCUGCCAACUGCUCAGCUCGGCUCGCGCCCUCACGAUUGCCAAGCGGCUCGGCUCGUCCCGCAGCCGCGUAUACACGGGCGCGCGGGGGUAUCGCCGCCGACGCGCGGGGGCAAUUUUUUUUACUUAUGACGAUCGUGCCCCUGGCAGCGAAGGGGUAUGGGUGAAUCUCAGCCCUUGAUGUAUUUAAGGGGGGUGUACCGAAGCAGAAGUGCAGUAACAAUUUAUUAGUACCCUAGUCAAUAUGAGUGAGAACCAGAUAGGAGCUUCAGUAAAUUUUGCUCGAGAUUACCUGGAGUACUUUUGAUUUUGGCUGCGGCGAGCACAAAUACAAAAGGAAACGAAGUUAGAUGUCUGAACCUUUUUCAAAACAGUUGUGUUACCAGGUACAGUAACUGAUUAAUAUUGGGGAACUGAAUUUUCUUACAGAGUUGUCGGUUAAGGCGAUUGUUCCUCCUGGGCGGAGUAGUCUGAAUGCUUCCUUCGCUAAUCCGAUUAUUGCUCGUGCUGGACACUCGUGGCACUGCAGGUGUUUAUAGAAUUGCACUUGCGGCAUUAGUGGUGAUUUGCGAGUUACCAUUUCAUUUUUCUACUUAAAUGGUGAUCUCUUGAUAAAGGCUGACUUUGAUUUCCCCCCCAGUAAUUUACUUAUUUUUCAAAGUCCUUAGCACAACGUUCAUGUAAAGAAGUCUAGAAUCCUAACUAGAUGCAAAAAUAGGCAUAUCACUACAAUUGUGUAAAAACAAGAACACUUAUUGUUUUGUCACUUCAACAUUUUCAGUCUCUUUUAAAAAAACAUUUUAGUCUUUUCACAAAAAAAAGUCUCUAUCUCCCUUUCCAAGAUUAUUGAGGGUAUCAGCUAAUUAGACUACAUUGGUUGAUUUUUGAAAGAAAAAAAAAUACAGGGAGGUUACAUUAGUUUAUUUCGUGAUAACCAUUUCGAGAUAUGAUAGAAGUUACCACAUAAGCAAGGGAGACGACGUCGAAUGAAUUUGGUGGCAACCCAGUCGCUUCACCGUUUGCAUGAACCCAACGAAUAGGGUUUUGUCGAGACAGCUGUUCUUCCUUCUGUGCUGCCACGGCCAGGAAGUAGGCUGAUAGAUCUAGUCCCUUAAUCAUUGAAAAAGCUCCAAAUUAGCAAAUCCAUAUAAAAACCAACCAAGGAAUCGUCAAUAUGCAGAAAGAAAGCUAUAAGCCUAUAACACAAUAUGUUAACAACUUAAUGUAGCUUAAGAUUUGUGGUAAGAGCAUGGCACCAUGCCAUCAAACUGAGGUCGAGAAUAUCGAUACUACUAAUAUUACAGCAUGAUUUUUUUGUUUUGUUUUAUCAGAGAUCCUGAUUGCUUUGAUUUUCACAAGAUCCAGAGAUCCUGGAUGCUUUGAUUUUCACAAGAUCCAGAGAUCCUGGAUGCUUUGAUUUUCACAAGAUUCAGAGCUCCUGGAUGCUUUAAUUUUCACAAGAUUUGAUCAUUUCCCCCGAAACAUGAGGAGAUACUGAACCUUGGCAAGACAGUUUUCAGAGAUGUGGCAAGAGAUGCACUUACAACAGCCCUAGCCCAAGGAAACCUUUCAGCCAGGUAUCUGGUGCUCACUCCAACAGAGCAGCCAAUGUCCAAAAUGUCAUUGAUCUGGCAGUUUUCCCCCGAGUACUUGAGGUGAUGCUCCUCAAUUGCAUUCAUCCAGUUUCCCCGAACAAUCUUGUUCGCUUCUUCGAUCGAAGUAGCCUCGGGUAUGGCCCUCUUUGCAAUGGACAAGGUUGCAGCCUCAGCCUCAGCUGCAGCCU